UGUGUGCGGCCUGCUUCCCAGCGCACCACUUUUUUUCCUCCUCCCCCAGCUCUCUGGGGCGCCAGCCGCGACGCGAACCCACCGCACCCAGAGCCCAGAAGGGGGACUGAGGGAAGGGGCACUCUCCACGCUACCCGCGGGCCCCACAGUCUCUGGGGACUUCUCCCCGGCACCUGCCACCCAGCACAGCCCCUCCCCCGGCACCUUUUAAGCAAAGGGUAGUGCUUCCCUGCGGAGGGUGGGGGUAAAGGGGGAUGCAUUGCUGGCGCACGAACUGAGAGUUGUUUGAUAUCCCACGUUUCCGAGCACGGAGGGGCAAUCCAAGCUACCUGGGUGAUGGGACAAUCUCGUGGAAGCUGAUUUAACCCUCUGAGGGUUACACCAGAAAGCGGAAGAGGGCUAAUUCCCAGGAAGUAGACAAAAUUGGAAUCAUCCUGAAUGUUCAUCAACAGAAGAACAGAUAAAUAAAUUACGGUGUAUUCCAACAGUGGAAUAUUACACAGCAAUAAGAAAGAGCAGACUGCUGAUAAAUGCAACGAGGACGACUCUCAAAAACAGACCCCUGUGGGCCAGCAGCCAGAUGCAACAGGGCACACUGUGCACAACCCUUUCAGUCCGUAAGUACGGCUUCUGCAGUAAAAGGUUAUUUUUUAAACUGCAUUCCAAAUACUUGAUAAUAUUAUUCCUGCUGCCUGGGAGAGAGUCAAGAAGCGUACUUGCUGAGCUCCUCCUGAAGGAGGUGGGCCGUGGCCACGGAUAACAAGAAGGAAUGAAGUGCUGAUCCCUGUGGCCUCCCGGUGAGGGGACUUCCCAGGGCAAGUCCCCAGUGCUGAGCACGCGGAAGGGCAGAGCACACCUGAGUUUCUGGCCCACGUGGUAUAAUGGAAAGAACCCAGAAGGUAGAAUCUGAAGAUUUGGGUCUGAAUCCAGAUGCACCGUGGACUGACUGUGGCCUUUGAACCUCAGAAGAGGAAGGACUAAGGGUCAGUCACAGGGCACCUGCUGACACCUGGGCCAUGACCCUACAGUUUCUGCCACAUGUUGCUCUCCUGUUUACGAGACUCUCACCCUCAGUAGUGACAAUUAACCUUAACGUGACCAUUCCAUUUUCUGAAACAAAUGUUCCUGUUGAAUUCUCACAGAUGCUCUGUUAAGCAAUCACUGCUCUUUCCCCUUAUUAAAGGUAAGAAACUCAUUUGCUGAGAUAAGUGAUUUGCCCACAACCAGUGACAGAAUUAGGACUUGCCUUCUGGUAUCAGACUCCCAAUCCUUGGUUCUUUCUCCAGGCCUGUCCUG